rnacentral:rRNA from 1 species
CUACGGGAUGCUGCAGUGAGGAAUUUUGCGCAAUGGGGGGAACCCUGACGCAGCAACGCCGCGUGAGUGAUGAAGGCUUUCGGGUCGUAAAGCUCUGUCAAGUGGGAAGAACCUAUGCAGUGUUAAUAUCACUGUAUACUGACGGUACCACUGAAGGAAGCACCGGCUAACUCCGUGCCAGCAGCCGCGGUAAUACGGGGGGUGCAAGCGUUAUUCGGAAUCAUUGGGCGUAAAGGGCACGUAGGCGGCUUGGUAAGUCAGAUGUGAAAGCCCGGGGCUUAACCCCGGAAGUGCAUUUGAUACUGUCAGGCUUGAGUAUGGGAGAGGGGAGUGGAAUUCCUGGUGUAGAGGUGAUAUUCGUAGAUAUCAGGAGGAACACCGGUGGCGAAGGCGACUUCCUGGACCAAUACUGACGCUGAGGUGCGAAGGCGUGGGUAGCAAACAGGAUUAGAUACCCUCGUAGUC